rnacentral:sRNA from 1 species
UGAUGGCAACGAUGCGCUGCGGCCGGCGC